rnacentral:lncRNA from 1 species
AGCUAAUAUUCAAUAUCUGUCAAUGUCCAUAUAGUUAAUGACAACUCUACCCUAUGGUGAUUAGUACUCAUGAUUGUAAAUUUUGAAAAUUAUUUUGAAGUCUUGCUGACAGUCUGGCUUUGCUGCUGAAGUUCAAGCUUUACCUUGCCCACAACCCUUGUUCCACAGGACCUGAGUUCAAAAUGUUUCUUGGCAGUUGAUCUUUGUCUUAGAAAAUUCCAGCAAAAUGUUCUGGUGGAGGAAGGUUUUUUGGUGUGGAACAACAGACAUAAACUAUGGAAAUGCACAGAAGUAAAGGCAUUUUUCAGAGAACCAAAGCCUAUCAUCUGGAACAGGAAAGGAGACAUACCUUCAUUGAAUGAGUGAUGAAAAAUACUGUUGGGCAAGUUAGUUGGAGUUGUCGAUUGGGAUUAUGUUCCACAGCCCUUCUCUCAGUGAAAGAAAAAUUAAGUGAAUGGUUGUAUCUAUCACUAAACCAAAACCGUAUGUGCAAAGCAGCAGCAAACUUAGAGAAGUCCAUCACAGGUUGGCAGUGGGUGUCCUAAGAAACCUGAAACAGAUGUUCAGAGUGCGAAGACUGGCUGAUAUAACCAGCAAUAACUGACAUAGAUUUUUGGAACUGGUAUCUAUUCCUUUGGCACCUCCAGAAGUGGUUAGGGAAAGGAACCCUGUACUUUUAGAUUCCUGCUUUCAUAUUCAAAAUAUCAGCUAAUGUUAUUGUUACCUG